rnacentral:rRNA from 1 species
AGAGUUUGAUUCCCUGGCUCAGGACGAACGCUGGCGGUGCGCCUUAUGCAUGCAAGUCGAGCGAAGCUUUUCAGUAGUUUACUACAGAAAAUGACUGAGCGGCGAACGGGUGAGUAACGCGUGAGCAAUCUACCUUAGUUACAGGGAUAGCCCGAGGAAACUCGGAUUAAUACCUGAUAUUCUUUAUUUCUCGCAUGAGAAUAAAAGGAAAGGUCAGCCGAACUAAGAUGAGCUCGCGUUCUAUCAGCUAGUUGGUGAGGUAAAAGCUCACCAAGGCUACGACGGAUAGCUGGUCUGAGAGGACGAUCAGCCACACUGGGACUGAGACACGGCCCAGACUCCUACGGGAGGCUGCAGCAGGGAAUAUUGUGCAAUGAACGAAAGUUUGACACAGCGACACCGCGCGUGGGAUGACGGAUCUAGGUUUGUAAACCACUUUCAGGAGGGAAGAAAAUGACGGUACCUCCAUAAGAAGCCCCGGCCAACUACGUGCCAGCAGCCGCGGUAAUACGUAGGGGGCGAGCGUUGUCCGGAUUUAUUGGGCGUAAAGAGCUCGUAGGCGGUUCAACAAGUCGGUCGUGAAAGUUCAGGGCUCAACCCUGAAAUGUCGAUCGAUACUGUUGUGACUAGGAUACGGUAGAGGUGAGUGGAAUUCCGAGUGUAGCGGUGAAAUGCGUAGAUAUUCGGAGGAACACCAAUUGCGAAGGCAGCUCACUGGGCCGCUAUCGACGCUGAGGAGCGAAAGCUAGGGGAGCAAACAGGAUUAGAUACCCUGGUAGUCCUAGCUGUAAACGAUGGAUACUAGACGUAGAACUGGAUUGACGGUUUCUGUGUCGCAGCUAACGCGUUAAGUAUCCCGCCUGGGGAGUACGGUCGCAAGACUAAAACUCAAAGGAAUUGACGG